UCUACCAGUGUUAAAAAUUCU
rnacentral:piRNA from 1 species